rnacentral:tRNA from 1 species
GACCGGCGGGGCCCUGGACCGGGCCCCGGGGCCCGUGUCCCCGCCGGAACAGACGCCGGGAACUCCUGUUCCGUUCCGGGAGUAGGUCA